rnacentral:tRNA from 1 species
GGGCAUGUGGCGAAAUGGCAGACGCGCUAGCUUCAGGAGCUAGUNNUUGGAGGUUCGAGUCCUCUCAUGCCCACCA